rnacentral:tRNA from 1 species
GCACGGUUAGCUCAGCUGGAUAGAGCGUUGCCCUCCGGAGGCAGAGGUCACAGGUUCGAAUCCUGUACCGUGCACCA